CUAUGAGCACACCAGUUCGUCAUUUCUCAUUUUCUCUGGGGGUUCUUAGAAAUGUGUGUCUUACCAGGAACUCGUCUUGAAGAAGACGUCGGCGGUUCGUGCUCUCCUUCGUCAUGCUUGCCAGGAAGCUGUCCGCUGAGUAGUCUCUU
ensembl:ncRNA Y71G12B.37 ncRNA